CUUCCCUCAAGUCCCACCAGUUCUGCUCUCCCAUCAAGCUUCAGAUGCCACGUUGUACUGGGGGAAUGUAGCCCUUGUGCUCCCCACCCCCUACCUCCACCUGAGCCUCACCCUGCUGUUGAGCCCUGAGUGGCUAGGGGAAAUAGGAAGAGGAUUGCCAUGGCCUGGCCAUCUUGUUGCUGCUUGGAGAGAUCAUAUAGCUAAUGAAUUAGGCAGGGGAGCUAUUUUUUGAAGAUGAUGAACUAAAUGUUGAAGACAAGUUUGAGAUCUGUAAAAUGUGAUUUUUUACUUCCACUUAUAAUACUUGUGAUUGGGGAGGUUUGUGGAAAUUCAAUUAUGAUGAAAAACCUCUAUCUUUUUUGUAAUGUUGGCAUACUUGGGGGAUUUAGUGGCAAAUACAUUCCCCAGCAGGCCUUUUGUUGGUUGCACUAACUGCAAGGUUGCUGGGAAGUAGAGUCCAUUUGGUUGAUGAGCUUUGACUGCGGUUUUGGAACCUUACCUCUCCUCCUUAGCCCAAUAUGCUGUCUCGGGUCCUAUUCAAAUAAAGUUAUUUCUCCUGGUCUAAAAAAAAAAAA
rnacentral:lncRNA from 1 species